rnacentral:rRNA from 1 species
UCAUGGCUCAGAUUGAACGCUGGCGGCAGGCCUAACACAUGCAAGUCGAGCGGAAACGAGUUAUCUGAACCUUCGGGGAACGAUAACGGCGUCGAGCGGCGGACGGGUGAGUAAUGCCUAGGAAAUUGCCCUGAUGUGGGGGAUAACCAUUGGAAACGAUGGCUAAUACCGCAUGAUGCCUACGGGCCAAAGAGGGGGACCUUCGGGCCUCUCGCGUCAGGAUAUGCCUAGGUGGGAUUAGCUAGUUGGUGAGGUAAGGGCUCACCAAGGCGACGAUCCCUAGCUGGUCUGAGAGGAUGAUCAGCCACACUGGAACUGAGACACGGUCCAGACUCCUACGGGAGGCAGCAGUGGGGAAUAUUGCACAAUGGGCGCAAGCCUGAUGCAGCCAUGCCGCGUGUGUGAAGAAGGCCUUCGGGUUGUAAAGCACUUUCAGUCGUGAGGAAGGUGGUGUAGUUAAUAGCUGCAUUAUUUGACGUUAGCGACAGAAGAAGCACCGGCUAACUCCGUGCCAGCAGCCGCGGUAAUACGGAGGGUGCGAGCGUUAAUCGGAAUUACUGGGCGUAAAGCGCAUGCAGGUGGUUUGUUAAGUCAGAUGUGAAAGCCCGGGGCUCAACCUCGGAAUAGCAUUUGAAACUGGCAGACUAGAGUACUGUAGAGGGGGGUAGAAUUUCAGGUGUAGCGGUGAAAUGCGUAGAGAUCUGAAGGAAUACCGGUGGCGAAGGCGGCCCCCUGGACAGAUACUGACACUCAGAUGCGAAAGCGUGGGGAGCAAACAGGAUUAGAUACCCUGGUAGUCCACGCCGUAAACGAUGUCUACUUGGAGGUUGUGGCCUUGAGCCGUGGCUUUCGGAGCUAACGCGUUAAGUAGACCGCCUGGGGAGUACGGUCGCAAGAUUAAAACUCAAAUGAAUUGACGGGGGCCCGCACAAGCGGUGGAGCAUGUGGUUUAAUUCGAUGCAACGCGAAGAACCUUACCUACUCUUGACAUCCAGAGAACUUUCCAGAGAUGGAUUGGUGCCUUCGGGAACUCUGAGACAGGUGCUGCAUGGCUGUCGUCAGCUCGUGUUGUGAAAUGUUGGGUUAAGUCCCGCAACGAGCGCAACCCUUAUCCUUGUUUGCCAGCGAGUAAUGUCGGGAACUCCAGGGAGACUGCCGGUGAUAAACCGGAGGAAGGUGGGGACGACGUCAAGUCAUCAUGGCCCUUACGAGUAGGGCUACACACGUGCUACAAUGGCGCAUACAGAGGGCGGCCAACUUGCGAAAGUGAGCGAAUCCCAAAAGUGCGUCGUAGUCCGGAUUGGAGUCUGCAACUCGACUCCAUGAAGUCGGAAUCGCUAGUAAUCGUGGAUCAGAAUGCCACGGUGAAUACGUUCCCGGGCCUUGUACACACCGCCCGUCACACCAUGGGAGUGGGCUGCAAAAGAAGUAGU